ACAGAGCGGCCCAGCGCCCGCCGCACCAUCGAGACGGCCCGGCGGGACAGAGCGGCCCCGCGGGACAGAGGGGUCCCGCCGUCAUGGCGGCCGGGCCCUCGGGAAGGCCGCGGCCAGACCCGCCGCUGAGCCCUGCCCCGCUCCUGAGCCCUGCCCCGCUCCUGCCGCUCCCCGGAGCUUCGCCCCUGCGCCCCGGGACACAGCGCCGGGCCCUGGCGCGGCUGGUCUGGGCUGCCCCGGCCUGCACCGCACGGCGGCCCGGGGCGGGGGCUGGGCCCGGGGCUGGGGCUGGGCCCGGGGCUGGGCCCGGGUCAGGCCAGGCCCGACCUGUGGGCUCCCGGCGCUGGGAGCGGUGCCGGUGGCCGGGAAGGUGGCCGGGACAGGCUGAGCCUGCCCUGCCCGGGAGGCUGGAGAGGCGUCCGGCAGAGCCGGGCUUGGCGCAGGGUGGACGUUGUCCAAAGUAAACGGCAAAGGGUAAAUCCAGGCCUUGGCGUGCUCGGUUUGGUUAGGUUUGAGGCACGUGAACUCGGUGGCACGAGCUGCUGGUGUUUGUUCAGGGCUCGGGGUGGGAAGGACGGUGACAUCUAUGCUAAACCAAUCAGGUGAUAAAGAACAGUUCCAUGGCUGAUUUCCUGAGGAGCUGGCCAGAACCCGUCCACUUUUCCUUCUUUAUUGCUGGAUUACAGCUCAGCUGGUUGCAGGCACGGAGCAGAUCAGCACUGAGUCCCUGCAAAGAGACAGCCCGAGGAGGAGGAGGAGUCUGCAGCAGCACCAGCUUGUGCUGCCUCUGAGUGUUCCACCUCCUGCAGUGUCUCCUAGAGAAGCUUUUCUUCCGAGUUCCAUGGUGGACAAGCUGGUUUUCACAGGAGCAGGAACUGCAGUCCUGAUGGGCCGUGAGAGCUUGGCCAUAAAGCCUCUUUAUUGGGCUGAAACAAAGUGUUGAUGCCUGAUCUUACGGGAAGAGAUGUGCCCACUUCUGUGUGCUGCCUUGAUGAACUGCACCAUGACCCAAACUGAGGUAGUUCUGCCAAAACCCAGUUUCAGUUACGUGUGAUUUUAGAGCAGAAUCUGCUUUAUUAGCUUUAACUGUAAGAGAGAUCCUUCCACCAUGAACUGCAGGUGAAUUUGUGUCCCUUCCUUUGGCUGCAUGUCCAACAUACUGAUAAAUUUAAAACUGGUUUUAGGAUUCCAAUACUUGCCUGUCCUGCAGCAGGACUCUUGGAAAUCAUCUCUGGGAAGAGAGAACCAGAGAUCUGGGAUCUGUGCUGGCUUUGUGCCUUUGAUAGAUUCCUGUUCAGUGUAAAGUAAAUCAUCUGCUUGGCCAGCCAGUAACAUCUGUGUGGCUGCAGUGAAAUCAGCUGUGUGAGACCCUCUUGGAACAAGAUUAAGGGUGAUUUUUCUUAGAGUACAAAGCAUUAUGGAAAAAAAAGAAGAAAUGUCUGGUA